AUUGAACGCUGGCGGCAGGCCUAACACAUGCAAGUCGAGCGGAUGAAGGGAGCUUGCUCCUGGAUUCAGCGGCGGACGGGUGAGUAAUGCCUAGGAAUCUGCCUGGUAGUGGGGGAUAACGUCCGGAAACGGGCGCUAAUACCGCAUACUUCCUGAGGGAGAAAGUGGGGGAUCUUCGGACCUCACGCUAUCAGAUGAGCCUAGGUCGGAUUAGCUAGUUGGUGGGGUAAAGGCCUACCAAGGCGACGAUCAGUAACUGGUCUGAGAGGAUGAUCAGUCACACUGGAACUGAGACACGGUCAAGACUCCUACGGGAGGCAGCAGUGGGGAAUAUUGGACAAUGGGCGAAAGCCUGAUCCAGCCAUGCCGCGUGUGUGAAGAAGGUCUUCGGAUUGUAAAGCACUUUAAGUUGGGAGGAAGGGCAGUAAGUUAAUACCUUGCUGUUUUGACGUUAACAACAGAAUAAGAACCGGCUAACUUCGUG
rnacentral:rRNA from 1 species